GGUCAAGGUCAGGCUGGAUGGGGCUCUGAGCAACCUGAUGGAGCUGUAGGUGUCCCUGUGCAUUGCAGGGGAGUUGGACUAGAUGACAUUUAAGGGUCCCUGCCAACUCAAAUGAUGCUAUUACAGCCACACCCAUGAAAUAAAAAUGUAUUAAAGAAAUACUAAUUUAACUCACUUUGUAUGAAAACCGUACUUCCAUUUGUUUGUGUAUUUCCCCCAAUUAUUUAAAUGCACUUCUAGUGUCAUUUUCCAAGGUCUGCUCAGUCCCACUCUCAUGCUCUGGUCAGUCUGACAGAACACUGCAGUCUUGGCUUCAUUUGCUUCUGGACCUGUUCCAGUUCUGUUGUUCAAAACAGUGUCCUUUCUAAGUCCCCAUCAGCACUUCUGCUAGACAGUCAGCAAGACUGUUUAAAGAUGUAGUCAGUGGAGCUCCGAUCAUCUGAAAAAGAUUAUGGAAGGACUGAAGAAAUACAAAGAAAAGAGCAAGUGUGAUUCAAGAUGAAAUCACCUGUAUAAUAAAGGAUGUAAU
rnacentral:lncRNA from 1 species